CUGACUGCUCGUUGUGUAGAGAUGCAGCCUCUGGUGACGCCUGCUUAUCUAUGAAACAGCCAGUCUGAGGAAGAACCUAGAACUGGACACAGCGUCUUUCAAUUUGUUUUCGGGCCACGGAGGAAUGGUCAGCAAAGAUCGAGGAGGGCUGACCCACAGGAGCCCACAAGGACCACACCAAUGGACUCCCUUGCCCACCGGCAUGCAGUUGGGCCCAGCCCAUGCACAACACUGGCAGGAGAUGGGAGAAGGAGGAGAAUGAGCUCCAGAUGCUUUCCCAGUUUUUUCCUUGCAGAGGUCCCAGUUCCUGCCAGUCGGUCCUCUCCACUCUGUCUGCAGCUUCCAGGAAGCAUCUCCUAACCUUGCCCUCCAGGACGGGGGCUGGGCAUGGCCGUGUCCUGCACAGCCGUAUUGGAGUCUGAGGCAACAGGAAAACUGAAGGCCUCUACAGAAAUGCUUUUAUAUCAUUUUUAAUGAUCUCUUUUGUUUCUGAAACAUUAACUGAACAAAUACUAAAAAUUGAAAAUGGG